rnacentral:rRNA from 1 species
AGCGGCAACAGCUCAAAUUUGAAAUCUGGCUCUCGGGCCCGAGUUGUAAUUUGUAGAGGAUGUUUUUGAUGCGGUGCCUUCCGAGUUCCCUGGAACGGGACGCCAUAGAGGGUGAGAGCCCCGUCUGGUUGGAUGCCAAAUCUCUGUAAAACUCCUUCAACGAGUCGAGUAGUUUGGGAAUGCUGCUCUAAAUGGGAGGUAUAUGUCUUCUAAAGCUAAAUACCGGCCAGAGACCGAUAGCGCACAAGUAGAGUGAUCGAAAGAUGAAAAGCACUUUGAAAAGAGAGUUAAAAAGUACGUGAAAUUGUUGAAAGGGAAGCGUUUAUGACCAGACUUGGGCUUGGUUAAUCAUCUGGGGUUCUCCCCAGUGCACUUUUCCAGUCCAGGCCAGCAUCAGUUUUCCCCGGGGGAUAAAGACUUUGGGAAUGUGGCUCUCCUCGGAGAGUGUUAUAGCCCAUUGUGUAAUACCCUGGGGGGGACUGAGGUUCGCGCAUCUGCAAGGAUGCUGGCGUAAUGGUCAUCAAUGACCCGUCUUGAAACACGGACCAAGGAGUCGUCUUCGUAUGCGAGUGUUCGGGUGUCAAACCCCUACGCGUAAUGAAAGUGAACGCAGGUGAGAGCUUCGGCGCAUCAUCGACCGAUCCUGAUGUUCUCGGAUGGAUUUGAGUAAGAGCAUACGGGGCCGGACCCGAAAGAAGGUGAACUAUGCCUGUAUAGGGUGAAGCCAGAGGAAACUCUGGUGGAGGCUCGCAGCGGUUCUGACGUGCA